rnacentral:rRNA from 1 species
AGCGAACGCUGGCGGCAGGCUUAACACAUGCAAGUCGAGCGGGCGUAGCAAUACGUCAGCGGCAGACGGGUGAGUAACGCGUGGGAACAUACCUUUUGGUUCGGAACAACACAGGGAAACUUGUGCUAAUACCGGAUAAGCCCUUACGGGGAAAGAUUUAUCGCCGAAAGAUUGGCCCGCGUCUGAUUAGCUAGUUGGUGAGGUAAUGGCUCACCAAGGCGACGAUCAGAGCUGGUCUGAGAGGAUGAUCAGCCACAUUGGGACUGAGACACGGCCCAAACUCCUACGGGAGGCAGCAGUGGGGAAUAUUGGACAAUGGGCGCAAGCCUGAUCCAGCCAUGCCGCGUGAGUGAUGAAGGCCCUAGGGUUGUAAAGCUCUUUUGUGCGGGAAGAUAAUGACGGUACCGCAAGAAUAAG